rfam:Clostridiales bacterium CHKCI006 isolate CHKC6 genome assembly, contig: {contig1}
CAUUUUAGAUAAUCGCUGCUUACCCGAUAAGUAGAGGAAAGUCCAUGCUCGCACAGGCUGAGAUGCCUGUAGUGUUUGUGCGUAACAAAAAAAUAAGUUACGGCAGCUUUAGCUGACGACGGGUGGAAACCGUCCUUUGAUUCAAAGCGGUCAGAAACCAGAAAGUGCCACAGAAACGAUUCAUCGGGAAACCGAUGCUGAAAAGAGGUAAACUCCGCAAGCGAGAAACCCAAAUUUGGUAGGGGAACUAUUUUCGAGGAAUUCAACGAGAAAAUGGACACGCAAGUGUAGAUAAAUGAUUAUCCUAGACAAAACAUGGCUUAUUAAA